UACGUAGGGGCAAGCGUUAUCCGGAUUUACUGGGGUGUAAAGGGAGCGCAGACGGCAGUGCAAGUCUGAUGUGAAAGCCCGGGGCUCAACCCCGGAACUGCAUUGGAAACUGUACAGCUUGAGUGUCGGAGAGGUAAGCGGAAUUCCUAGUGUAGCGGUGAAAUGCGUAGAUAUUAGGAGGAACACCGGUGGCGAAGGCGGCUUACUGGACGAUUACUGACGUUGAGGCUCGAAAGCGUGGGGAGCAAACAGGAUUAGAUACCCGCGUAGUCCCUGA
rnacentral:rRNA from 1 species